rnacentral:misc_RNA from 1 species
GACAGGUGAGUCAUCGAAUCUUUGAACGCACAUUGCGCCCUCUGGUAUUCCGGGGGGCAUGCCUGUCCGAGCGUCAUUUGCAACCCUCAAGCCCGGCUUGUGUGAUGGGUGCCGUCCCCUACGGGACGCGCCCCGAAGGCAAUGGCGGCGUCGCGGUUAUCCGAUCAGCCAAAGUGUAUGGGGCUUUGUCACUCACUUUACGGCCCGGACCGGCGCCAGUCCGAAUCAAUCUUUUUUCUAAAGUUGACCUCGGAUCAGGUAGGGAUACCCGCUGAACUUAAGCAUAUCAAUAAGCGGAGG